rnacentral:rRNA from 1 species
UACAGAGGGGGCAAGCGUUAUUCGGAAUUAUUGGGCGUAAAGGGCGCGUAGGCGGCCUGGCAAGUGGAAGGUGAAAUCCCUCGGCUUAACCGAGGAACUGCCUCCCAAACUGCUUGGCUUGAGACCGGGAGAGGUGAGUGGAAUUCCCAGUGUAGCGGUGAAAUGCGUAGAUAUUGGGAGGAACACCAGUGGCGAAGGCGGCUCACUGGACCACAACUGACGCUGAGGCGCGAAAGCUAGGGGAGCAAACAGG